UACAGAGGUCCCAAGCGUUGUUCGGAUUCACUGGGCGUAAAGGGUGCGUGGCGGCCGGGUAAGUCUGAUGUGAAAUCCCGCAGCUUAACUGCGGAACUGCAUCGGAUACUCUCCGGCUAGAGGAAUGGAGGGGAGACUGGAAUUCUCGGUGUAGCAGUGAAAUGCGUAGAUAUCGAGAGGAACACCAGUGGCGAAGGCGAGUCUCUGGACAUUUCCUAACGCUGAGGCACGAAAGCCAGGGGAGCAAACGGG
rnacentral:rRNA from 1 species